rnacentral:rRNA from 1 species
AACGAACGCUGGCGGCAGGCCUAACACAUGCAAGUCGAGCGCGCCUUCGGGUGAGCGGCGGACGGGUGAGUAACACGUGGGAAUAUGCCUUUCGGUGCGGAAUAGUCUUGGGAAACUGAGGGUAAUACCGCAUACGCCCCCUGGGGGAAAGAUUUAUCGCCGAAAGAUUAGCCCGCGUUGGAUUAGGUAGUUGGUGGGGUAAUGGCCUACCAAGCCGACGAUCCAUAGCUGGUUUGAGAGGAUGAUCAGCCACACUGGGACUGAGACACGGCCCAGACUCCUACGGGAGGCAGCAGUGGGGAAUCUUAGACAAUGGGGGCAACCCUGAUCUAGCCAUGCCGCGUGAGUGAUGAAGGCCUUAGGGUUGUAAAGCUCUUUUACCCGGGAAGAUAAUGACUGUACCGGGAGAAUAAGCCCCGGCUAACUCCGUGCCAGCCGCCGCGGUAA